rnacentral:rRNA from 1 species
UACAGAGGUCCCAAGCGUUGUUCGGAUUCACUGGGCGUAAAGGGUGCGUAGGCGGUCGGGUAAGUCUGACGUGAAAUUCUGGAGCUUAACUUCGGAACGGCGUCGGAGACUAUUCGGCUAGAGGAUUGGAGGGGGGACUGGAAUUCUCGGUGUAGCAGUGAAAUGCGUAGAUAUCGAGAGGAACACCAAUGGCGAAGGCGAGUCCCUGGACAAUUACUGACGCUGAGGCACGAAAGCUAGGGGAGCAAACAGG